GGCGUGCUUAACACAUUCAAGUCGAACGAUGACGGCCGUGCUUGCACGGUCUGAUUAGUGGCGAACGGGUGAGUAACACGUGAGUAACCUGCCCUCCACUUCGGGAUAACCUCGGGAAAUCGUGGCUAAUACCGGAUAUGAGCACUCAUCGCAUGGUGGGUGUUGGAAAGAUUUAUCGGUGGAGGAUGGACUCGCGGCCUAUCAGUUUGUUGGUGAGGUGAUGGCUCACCAAGACGAUGACGGGUAGCCGGCCUGAGAGGGCGACCGGCCACACUGGGACUGAGACACGGCCCAGACUCCUACGGGAGGCAGCAGUGGGGAAUAUUGCACAAUGGGCGGAAGCCUGAUGCAGCGACGCCGCGUGAGGGAUGACGGCCUUCGGGUUGUAAACCUCUUUCAGUAGGGAAGAAGCGAAAGUGACGGUACCUGCAGAAGAAGCGCCGGCUAACUACGUGCCAGCAGCCGCGGUAAUACGUAGGGCGCAAGCGUUGUCCGGAAUUAUUGGGCGUAAAGAGCUUGUAGGUGGCUUGUCGCGUCUGCCGUGAAAACCCGAGGCUCAACCUCGGGCGCGCGGUGGGUACGGGCAGGCUAGAGUGGGGUAGGGGAACCUGCGGCUUGGAUCA
rnacentral:rRNA from 1 species